rnacentral:rRNA from 1 species
GUGGGGAAUAUUGGGCAAUGGACGCAAGUCUGACCCAGCAACGCCGCGUGAAGGAAGAAGGCUUUCGGGUUGUAAACUUCUUUUAAGGGGGAAGAGUAGAAGACGGUACCCCUUGAAUAAGCCACGGCUAACUACGUGCCAGCAGCCGCGGUAAUACGUAGGUGGCAAGCGUUGUCCGGAUUUACUGGGUGUAAAGGGCGUGUAGCCGGGAAGGCAAGUCAGAUGUGAAAUCUGGAGGCUCAACCUCCAAACUGCAUUUGAAACUGCUUUUCUUGAGUGUCGGAGAGGUAAUCGGAAUUCCUUGUGUAGCGGUGAAAUGCGUAGAUAUAAGGAAGAACACCAGUGGCGAAGGCGGAUUACUGGACGAUAACUGACGGUGAGGCGCGAAAGCGUGGGGAGCAAACAGGAUUAGAAACCCUAGUAGUCC